UAAGGAAUAUUGCUCAAUGGGAGAAAUCCUGAAGCAGCAACGCCGCGUGGAGGAUGAAGGGUCUAUGACUUGUAAACUCCUGUAAAGAAGGAAAAAAUUCCCAUUAGAUGGGAGAUGAUGGUACUUCUGGAGUAAGCCCCGGCUAACUACGUGCCAGCAGCCGCGGUAAUACGUAGGGGGCAAGCGUUGUCCGGAUUUACUGGGUGUAAAGGGUGCUCAGGCGGAUUUGUAAGUCAGAGGUGAAAUCUUACAGCUUAACUGUGAAACUGCCUUUGAUACUGCAAGCCUAGAGUAUGGAAGAGAGUGAUGGAAUAUCUGGCGUAGCAGUGAAAUGCGUAGAUAUCAGAUAGAACACCAAUGGCGAAGGCAGUCACUUGGUCCAUUACUGACGCUAAAGCACGAAAGCGUGGGUAGCAAACA
rnacentral:rRNA from 1 species